UGGGGAAUAUUGCACAAUGGGGGAAACCCUGAUGCAGCGACGCCGCGUGAGCGAAGAAGGCUUUCGAGUCGUAAAGCUCUGUCCUAUGAGAAGAUAAUGACGGUAUCAUAGGAGGAAGCCCUGGCUAAAUACGUGCCAGCAGCCGCGGUAAUACGUAUGGGGCGAGCGUUGUCCGGAAUUAUUGGGCGUAAAGGGUACGUAGGUGGUUUUUUAAGUCAGGUGUCAAAGCGUGGAGCUUAACUCCAUUAAGCACUUGAAACUGAAAGACUUGAGUGAAGGAGAGGAAAGUGGAAUUCCUAGUGUAGCGGUGAAAUGCGUAGAUAUUAGGAGGAAUACCGGUGGCGAAGGCGACUUUCUGGACUUUUACUGACGCUCAGGUACGAAAGCGUGGGGAGCAAACAUG
rnacentral:rRNA from 1 species